rnacentral:rRNA from 1 species
UACGGGGGAUGCAAGCGUUAUCCGGAAUUAUUGGGCGUAAAGGGUCCUGAGGUGGCUAGCCAAGUCUAUUGUGAAAUAUCAGGGCUUAACCCUGAACAUGCGGUGGAAACUAGAAAGCUUGAGUACAGUAGGGGCGGAGGGAAUUUCCGGUGGAGCGGUGAAAUGCAUAGAUAUCGGGAAGAACACCAACGGACGAAAGCACUCUGCUGGGCCGACACUGACACUGAGAGACGAAAGCUAGGGGAGCGAAUGGG